GAUGAACGCUGGCGGCGUGCCUAAUACAUGCAAGUCGAGCGAACAGACGAGGCGCUUGCUCCUCUGACGUUAGCGGCGGACGGGUGAGUCACACGUGGCUACCCUACCUAUAAGACUGGGAUACCUUCGGGAAACCUGAUCUAAUCCCGGAUAAUAUAUUGAACCGCAUGGUUCAAUAGUGAACGACGGUUUUGCUGUCCCUUAUAGAUGGAUCCGCGCCGCAUUAGCUAGUUGGUAAGGUAACGGCUUACCAAGGCAACGCUGCGUAGCCGACCUGAGAGGGUGAUCGGCCACACUGGAACUGAGACACGGUCCAGACUCCUACGGGAGGCAGCAGUAGGGAAUCUUCCGCAAUGGGCGAAAGCCUGACGGAGCAACGCCGCGUGAGUGAUGAAGGUCUUCGGAUCGUAAAACUCUGUUAUUAGGGAAGAACAAAUGUGUAAGUAACUAUGCACGUCUUGACGGUACCUAAUCAGAAAGCCACGGCUAACUACGUG
rnacentral:rRNA from 1 species